rnacentral:rRNA from 1 species
GACGAACGCUGGCGGCGUGCUUAACACAUGCAAGUCGAACGGAAAGGCCCUGCUUUUGUGGGGUGCUCGAGUGGCGAACGGGUGAGUAACACGUGAGUAACCUGCCCUUGACUUUGGGAUAACUUCAGGAAACUGGGGCUCAUACCGGAUAGGAGCUCCUGCUGCAUGGUGGGGGUUGGAAAGUUUCGGCGGUUGGGGAUGGACUCGCGGCUUAUCAGCUUGUUGGUGGGGUAGUGGCUUACCAAGGCUUUGACGGGUAGCCGGCCUGAGAGGGUGACCGGCCACAUUGGGACUGAGAUACGGACCAGACUCCUACGGGAGGCAGCAGUGGAGAAUAUUGCACAAUGGGCGGAAGCCUGAUGCAGCAACGCCGCGUGCGGGAUGACGGCCUUCGGGUUGUAAACCGCUUUCGCCUGUGACGAAGCGUGAGUGACGGUAAUGGGUAAAGAAGCACCGGCUAACUACGUG